rnacentral:rRNA from 1 species
AUACGAAGGGGGCUAGCGUUGUUCGGAAUCACUGGGCGUAAAGGGCGCGUAGGCGGCUCUGCGAGUCGGGCGUGAAAUCCCGGGGCUCAACCCCGGAACGGCGCUCGAUACUGCGGGGCUGGAGACCGGAAGAGGAGGGUGGAAUUCCCAGUGUAGAGGUGAAAUUCGUAGAUAUUGGGAGGAACACCGGUGGCGAAAGCGGCUCUCUGGUCCGGUUCUGACGCUGAGGCGCGAAAGCGUGGGGAGCAAACAGGAUUAGAAACCCUAGUAGUCC